AUGGACCCUGGUUGGUGGGAUGAUUCGGAAAAGCUUACGAGAGAACACAAUGAAGAGCUGACUAGGGAGUUUUCUGUGGAGGAGGUGAAGGAGGCUCUGUUUGCAAUGGAUACCAAUAGAGCACCCGGCCCGGACAAUAUACCUGCAGAGUUCUACCAACAUUGUUGGGAUAUUGUCAAAGAUGACAUUAUGAGGAUUUUCAGGCACAUCCAUGAUGGGACGCUUGAUGUGCAGCGUCUCAACUACGGAGUAAUCACUCUCCUUCCAAAAGUAUCGGGCGCCGAGCGCAUUCAACAGUUCCGACCAAUCUGCCUCCUUAGGUGCCCGUAUAAACUGAUUACUAAGACUAUGGACAGGAGAGUUGAAAAGUAUGCUGAUAAGCUGAUUAGCCUUUCCCAGAAUGCUUUUGUGAAGGGUAGGAAUAUUAUGGAUGGUAUAAUGUCUCUUCAUGAGAUACUGAACUACACCCAUGUUAAGAAAAGAACUGGGGUGGUGCUAAAAUUAGACUUUGAGAAGGCUUAUGAUAAAGUCAACUAG
rnacentral:rRNA from 1 species